CCUACGGGGCGCUGCAGUGAGGAAUAUUGGUCAAUGGACGAGAGUCUGAACCAGCCAAGUAGCGUGAAGGAUGACUGCCCUAUGGGUUGUAAACUUCUUUUAUAUGGGAAUAAAACGUUCCACGUGUGGGAUUUUGUAUGUACCAUAUGAAUAAGGAUCGGCUAACUCCGUGCCAGCAGCCGCGGUAAUACGGAGGAUCCGAGCGUUAUCCGGAUUUAUUGGGUUUAAAGGGAGCGUAGGUGGAUUGUUAAGUCAGUUGUGAAAGUUUGCGGCUCAACCGUAAAAUUGCAGUUGAAACUGGCAGUCUUGAGUACAGUAGAGGUGGGCGGAAUUCGUGGUGUAGCGGUGAAAUGCUUAGAUAUCACGAAGAACUCCGAUUGCGAAGGCAGUUCACUGGACUGCAACUGACACUGAGGCUCGAAAGUGUGGGUAUCAAACAGGAUUAGAUACCUGGUAGUC
rnacentral:rRNA from 1 species